GUCCAAGGAUGGGAAAAGAACCCACAGUAUUGCGCUUACCGGGCAGAUGCCAUGUCCACUAGGCUACCCUGGA
rnacentral:tRNA from 1 species